CCUACGGGUGGCAGCAGUGGGGAAUAUUGCACAAUGGGGGAAACCCUGAUGCAGCGACGCCGCGUGAGUGAAGAAGUAUUUCGGUAUGUAAAGCUCUAUCCGCAGGGAAGAAAAUGACGGUAACAGUUUAAGAAGCCCCGGCUAACUACGUGCCAGCAGCCGCGGUAAUACGUAGGGGGCAGGCGUUAUCCGGAUUUACUGGGUGUAAAGGGAGCGUAGACGGCAGCUCAAGUCUGGAGUGAAAGGCCGGGGCUUAACCCCGGAACUGCUUUGGAAACUGUGCAGCUAGAGUGCAGGAGAGGUAAGUGGAAUUCCUAGUGUAGCAGUGAAAUGCGUAGAUAUUAGGAGGAACACCAGUGGCGAAGGCGGGUUACUGGACUGUAACUGACGUUGAGGCUCGAAGGCGAGGGGAGCAAACGGGAUUAGAUACCCCUGUAGUC
rnacentral:rRNA from 1 species